UACGGAGGGGGCGAGCGUUAUUCGGAAUUAUUGGGCGUAAAGGGCGCGUAGGCGGCUGUACAAGUCAAAGGUGAAAUCCCUCGGCUCAACUGAGGAACUGCCUUUGAAACUGUACGGCUUGAGGCCGGGAGGGGGUAGCGGAAUUCCCAGUGUAGCGGUGAAAUGCGUAGAUACUGGGAGGAACACCAGUGGCGAAGGCGGCUACCUGGACCGGUUCUGACGCUGAGGGGCGAAAGCGUGGGUAGCAAACAGG
rnacentral:rRNA from 1 species